rnacentral:rRNA from 1 species
CUGGGCGUAAAGGGCGCGUAGGCGGAUUUAUAAGUCAAGUUUAAAAGCCCUGGGCUUAACCUGGGAAUGAGACGUGAUACUGUAAGUCUUGAGUAUAGGAGAGGAGAGGGGAAUUUCCGGUGUAGCGGUGAAAUGCGUAGAUAUCGGAAGGAACACCAGUGGCGAAGGCGCCUCUCUGGCCUAAUACUGACGCUGAGGUGCGAAAGCGUGGGGAGCGAAGAGGAUUAGAUACCCUCGUAGUCCACGCCGUAAACGAUGAAAACUAGCUGUUGGAAUGGAAGCAUUUUAGUAGCGAAGCUAACGCGAUAAGUUUUCCGCCUGGGGAGUACGGCCGCAAGGUUAAAACUCAAAGAAAUUGACGGGGGCCCGCACAAGCGGUGGAGCAUGUGGUUUAAUUCGAUGCAACGCGAAGAACCUUACCUACGCUUGACAUCCUUGGAAGCUUUAAGAGAUUAGAGUGUGCCUUCGGGAGCCAAGAGACAGGUGCUGCAUGGCUGUCGUCAGCUCGUGUCGUGAGAUGUUGGGUUAAGUCCCGUAACGAGCGCAACCCUUAUUGCUAGUUGCCAUCAUUAAGUUGGGUACUCUAGUGAGACUGCCGGUGAUAAACCGGAGGAAGGUGGGGAUGACGUCAAGUCAUCAUGGCCUUUAUGCGUAGGGCUACACACGUGCUACAAUGGUCGGUACAGAGAGUUGCCAAGCCGCGAGGUGGAGCUAAUCUCACAAAGCCGAUCGUAGUCCGGAUUGGAGUCUGAAACUCGACUCCAU